AUUGAACGCUGGCGGCAGGCCUAACACAUGCAAGUCGAGCGGAUGAAGGGAGCUUGCUCCUGGAUUCAGCGGCGGACGGGUGAGUAAUGCCUAGGAAUCUGCCUGGUAGUGGGGGAUAACGUCCGGAAACGGGCGCUAAUACCGCAUACGUCCUGAGGGAGAAAGUGGGGGAUCUUCGGACCUCACGCUAUCAGAUGAGCCUAGGUCGGAUUAGCUAGUUGGUGGGGUAAAGGCCUACCAAGGCAACGAUCCGUAACUGGUCUGAGAGGUUGAUCAGUCAACCGUGAACUGAGACACGGUCCAGCCUCUUACGGGAGGCACAAUGCGGGAAUAUUGCGCAUGGGGGGAAGCCUGAUCCAGCCAUGCCGCGUGUGUGAAGAAGGUCUUCGGAUUGUAAAGCACUUUAAGUUGGGAGGAAGGGCAGUAAGUUAAUACCUUGCUGUUUUGACGUUACCAACAGAAUAAGCACCGGCUAACUUCGUG
rnacentral:rRNA from 1 species